rnacentral:rRNA from 1 species
CCUGCAGCCCAAGUGGUGCUCGUUAUUAUCGGGUCUAAAACGUCCGUAGUCGGCUGAGUAGAUGCCCGGGUAAAUCGCAGCGCUCAACGUUGCGAAUUCCGGGUAGACCGCUCGGCUAGGGAGUGGGAGAAGUGCGAGGUACUCUGAGGGUAGGGGUAAAAUCCUGUAAUCCUUGGGGGACCACCAGUGGCGAAGGCGUCGCACUAGAACACGUCCGACGAUCAGGGACGAAGCCCUGGGGCGCAAACGGGAUUAGAUACCCCGGUAGUCCAGGGUGUAAACGCUGCCGGCUUGGUGUCGCGGAUCCUACGUGGGUACGCGGUGCCGGAGUGAAGAUGUUAAGCCGGCUACCUGGGGAGUACGGUCGCAAGACUG